rnacentral:tRNA from 1 species
ACAUAGAAGUAAUAACUUACAUUUAGUUUCGGCCUAAAAAUAGGGUAUACUCCCCAUGUU